rnacentral:rRNA from 1 species
UACAGAGGUGCCGAGCGUUAGGCGGAAUCACUGGGCUUAAAGCGUGUGUAGGCGGACUUCUAAGUACCUUGUGAAAUCCCACGGCUCACCCGUGGAACUGCUGGGUAUACUGGUCGUCUUGAGCCACCUAGGGGCCAGCGGAACAAAUGGUGGAGCGGUGAAAUGCGUAGAUAUCAUUUGGAACGCCAACGGUGAAAACAGCUGGCUGGGGGUGUGCUGACGCUGAGACACGAAAGCCAGGGGAGCAAACGGG